CAUAAGUCUGUGAUCACCCUCUAUCUUGGAUGCAAAGAAGGAUCCUUACUGACGUCACAGUGGUUAGCAUUCUAGAAGGACUGUGCAUUCAUGGCUGUCCCAUAUCUAUGUUUUUAUGGAAGUAUGGAUGGACUCUUUCCCAGAAAACACUCUUUCCCCUGUAUAUUAGGUGGUGUAAGGAAAAUAGCUUUGGAUUGGGAACCAAGAGAGUUGAGUCCUAGUCCUUGGACAAACCAUACGAUUUGUUUGGCCUGCCAUUUCUUGGCUAAACAGAUGCCAUGGUGUACUUUUCCUUGGGUCUUCUUGGCCAAGUUUUGGUCACAUGAUCAUGCUCUAGCUGGAAGAGAAGCUCAGACAAUCUCACCAGGUUUGACAGUGGAAGUUGGUCUCUGCCAAUAAGGAAGACAGGAGAAGGCUUUUGAUACUUCCCCCGAACUUCUGACCUAGAAUGUGAAUGUGAUGACUGAAGCAGCAGCAUCCAUCUUGCAACCUUGUGGAUGAAAGCCACACCUAAAGUUAGUGGACUUGGAAAGAGAAGAAAAUUGAAACCUUGAUGAAAUCAUAAAACCACUAUUGUGACUGUGCUGGCAAUUUUGGAGCUGCUUAUUACAUGGAAAGUGGAGAUCUACAUUUAUCUGUAUUGCCCCAGAGGAAUUAUAGAUACAGAGUGAAGCCUGAUAUACUGAUUCAUACUAGAUAGGGAGUCAACAGUACAAGUGAAGAAAAUGGAAUCAAUAUAUCUGCACCUUGUUUUCCUUAAUGGUGAAACAGCAAUGACUAUCUUUUCUAUCAUAGGAAGGAAUUCAUGUCGAUUUAAAGAGCCCCUGCUAAAACUGAGUCGUGAAGAAAUAGAAAAUCUGAAAAGACCGAUAAAAGGUAAGAAGAGUAAGAAUAUUGAGUCAGGAAGCAAACAUCUCCCAGCAAAGAAAACCCAGAAUCAGAUGGCUUCAAUGGUGAAUUCUAUCACAUAUUUAAAGAAGU